UAGGGAAUCUUCCACAAUGGACGAAAGUCUGAUGGAGCAAUGCCGCGUGAAUGAAGAAGGUCUUCGGAUCGUAAAGUUCUGUUAUUAGAGAAGAAUAGGUCGAGGAGUAACUGUCUCGACUUUGACGGUACCUAACCAGAAAGUCACGGCUAACUACGUGCCAGCAGCCGCGGUAAUACGUAGGUGACGAGCGUUGUCCGGAAUUAUUGGGCGUAAAGGGAGCGCAGGCGGUUGAAAUAGUCUGAUGUGAAAGCCCACGGCUUAACCGUGGAAGGUCAUUGGAAACUGUUCAACUUGAAUACAGAAGAGGUAAGUGGAAUUCCAAGUGUAGCGGUGAAAUGCGUAGAUAUUUGGAGGAACACCAGUGGCGAAGGCGGCUCUCUGGACUGUAACUGACGCUGAGGCACGAAAGCGUGGGGAGCAAACAGG
rnacentral:rRNA from 2 species